GACGAAGGAUCCAAGCGUUAUCCGGAUUUAUUGGGUUAAAGGUGCGUAGGCGGACUUGUAAGUCAGUGGUGAAAGCCCGAUGCUUAACAUCGGAACUGCCAUUGAUACUGCAAGUCUUGAAUAUGUUUGAAGUGGCGGAAUGUGUCGUGUAGCGGUGAAAUGCUUAGAUAUGACACAGAACACCGAUUGCGAAGGCAGCUCACUAAACCAUUAUUGACGCUGAUGCACGAAAGCGUGGGGAUCAAACAGG
rnacentral:rRNA from 1 species